rfam:Schistosoma mansoni strain Puerto Rico chromosome W, complete genome
GCUGAGGAGUCCCACAAUAGAACGAAACGGCCGUCC